AUUGAACGCUGGCGGCAUGCCUUACACAUGCAAGUCGAACGGUAACAGGUCUUCGGAUGCUGACGAGUGGCGAACGGGUGAGUAAUACAUCGGAACGUGCCUAGUAGUGGGGGAUAACUACUCGAAAGAGUGGCUAAUACCGCAUGAGAUCUACGGAUGAAAGCAGGGGAUCGCAAGACCUUGUGCUACUAGAGCGGCCGAUGGCAGAUUAGGUAGUUGGUGGGAUAAAAGCUUACCAAGCCGACGAUCUGUAGCUGGUCUGAGAGGACGAUCAGCCACACUGGGACUGAGACACGGCCCAGACUCCUACGGGAGGCAGCAGUGGGGAAGUGUGGAAAAUGGGCGCAAGCCUGAUCCAGCAAUGCCGCGUGCAGGAUGAAGGCCUUCGGGUUGUAAACUGCUUUUGUACGGAACGAAAAGCCCCGGGUUAAUACCCUGGGGUCAUGACGGUGCCGUAAGAAUAAGCACCGGCUAACUACGUGCCAGCCGCCGCCGUAA
rnacentral:rRNA from 1 species